rnacentral:rRNA from 1 species
AGAACGAACGCUGGCGGCAUGCCUAAUACAUGCAAGUCGAACGAACUCUUCGGAGUUAGUGGCGCACGGGUGCGUAACGCGUGGGAAUCUGCCCCUUGGUUCGGAAUAACAGUUGGAAACGACUGCUAAUACCGGAUGAUGACGAAAGUCCAAAGAUUUAUCGCCAAGGGAUGAGCCCGCGUAGGAUUAGCUAGUUGGUGAGGUAAAGGCUCACCAAGGCAACGAUCCUUAGCUGGUCUGAGAGGAUGAUCAGCCACACUGGGACUGAGACACGGCCCAGACUCCUACGGGAGCAGCAGUAGGGAAUAUUGGACAAUGGGACGAAAGCCUAG